UGACAACAGCACCACUAGAUAGACAACACCGCUAGAUUAGCAACAGAACAACACCUGCUGAUUAGACACACACCGCUAGAUUAGACCACAGGCACCACCGCUAGAUUAGACCACAGGCAACCACCGCUAGAUUAGACCACAGGCCCACCGCUAGAAUUAGCAACAGGCAACCACCGCUAGAUUAGACAACACCGCUAGAUUAGACCACAGGCACCACCACUAGAUUAGACAACACCGCUCGAUUAGACCCACAGGCACCACCGCUAGAUUAGACCACACGCUAGAUUAGACAACAGACAACCCGCUAGAUUAGCCACAGGCAACACCGCUAGAUUAGACAACAGGCAACACCGCUAGAUUAGACAACAGGCAACACCGCUAGAUUAGACCCCACAGGCACCACAGCUAGAUUAGACCACAGGCACCACCGCUAGAUUAGACCACAGGCACCCCGACUAGAUUGACCACAGCACCACGCUAGAUUAG
rnacentral:lncRNA from 1 species